AACGAACGCUGGCGGCAUGCCUAACACAUGCAAGUCGAACGAGAUCUUCGGGUCUAGUGGCGCACGGGUGCGUAACGCGUGGGAAUCUGCCCUUUGGUUCGGAAUAACAGUUGGAAACGACUGCUAAUACCGGAUGCUGACGAAAGGCCAAAGAUUUAUCGCCAGAGGAUGAGCCCGCGUAGGAUUAGCUAGUUGGUGUGGUAAAGGCGCACCAAGGCGACGAUCCUUAGCGGGUCUGAGAGGAUGAUCAGCCACACUGGGACUGAGACACGGCCCAGCCUCCUACGGGAGGCAGCAGUGGGGAAUAUUGGACAAUGGGCGAAAGCCUGAUCCAGCAAUGCCGCGUGAGUGAUGAAGGCCUUAGGGUUGUAAAGCUCUUUUACCCGGGAUGAUAAUGACAGUACCGGGAGAAUAAGCUCCGACUAACUCCGUGCCAGCCGCCGCCGUAA
rnacentral:rRNA from 1 species